rnacentral:rRNA from 1 species
GUUGAACGCUGGCGGCAGGCCUAACACAUGCAAGUCGAACGAGUGGCGGACGGGUGAGUAAUGUCUGGGAAACUGCCCGAUGGAGGGGGAUAACUACUGGAAACAGUAGCUAAUACCGCAUACCAUCUGAUGUGCCCAGAUGGGAUUAGCUAGUAGGUGGGGUAACGGCUCACCUAGGCGACGAUCCCUAGCUGGGCUGAGAGGAUGACCAGGCACACUGGAAUUGAGACGCGGUCCAGACUCCUACGGGAGGCGGGAGAGGGGAAGAGUACACAAGGGGCGCAAGCCUGAUGCAGCCAUGCCGCGUGUAUGAAGAAGGCCUUCGGGUUGUAAAGUACUUUCAGCGAGGAGGCGGUACUCGAAGAAGAAGCACCGGCUAACUCCGUGCCAGCAGCCGCGGUAAUUC